UACAGAGGUCCCAAGCGUUGUUCGGAUUCACUGGGCGUAAAGUGUGCGCAGGCGGCCGAGCAAGUCGAGUGUGAAAGCCCCGAGCUUAACUUGGGAACUGCGCUCGAAACUACUUGGCUAGAGUGUGGCAGAGGGAGGUGGAAUUCCACGUGUAGCGGUGAAAUGCGUAGAGAUGUGGAGGAACACCGAUGGCGAAGGCAGCCUCCUGGGCCAACACUGACGCUCAUGCACGAAAGCGUGGGGAGCAAACAGG
rnacentral:rRNA from 1 species